UGUAAACUGUAUGGCAAAUACGUAAAGAAACAAUACACCCAAUUUGAUUUCAUUUAUUUCUUUACAUAUUUUGGACUCAAAAAAAAAGUAAAUUGUGCUUUGUAAGCUGUUAAUUUUAGCAAGGUACCUCUUAAAGUCAUUGCUAAAAGGUCCUAGCAAAGAUGCUUAGCUUUUAAACAUUUUACUCUUCAAGUUAUUCAUCGCAAAGCCAACGUUAACGGCAUCCUGAUUUGUCUACUAUGAAGUUAUAUGAUAGAAGUUUGCUUAUGGAGGAAGCGCGUGGUCCCAAUAGCAUUAUAUAUAUGAGUAUGCAAAACAGCUGAUUUUUGUGCAAAUUCUAUCACCAUGGAUACAGGUCAAGAUAUUUUUUACGAUAACGAAGAAAUAAAAUACAUAGUCUUAAUUGUACUGUUCAAAUCUACUAGGUUUUAACUUUGGCUGUCGCGAA